rnacentral:rRNA from 1 species
UGGGGAAUAUUGGACAAUGGGGGCAACCCUGAUCCAGCAAUGCCGCGUGUGUGAAGAAGGUCUUCGGAUUGUAAAGCACUUUCGACGGGGACGAUGAUGACGGUACCCGUAGAAGAAGCCCCGGCUAACUUCGUGCCAGCAGCCGCGGUAAUACGAAGGGGGCUAGCGUUGCUCGGAAUGAUUGGGCGUAAAGGGCGUGUAGGCGGUUUACACAGUCAGAUGUGAAAUCCCCGGGCUUAACCUGGGAGCUGCAUUUGAUACGUGUAGACUAGAGUGUGAGAGAGGGUUGUGGAAUUCCCAGUGUAGAGGUGAAAUUCGUAGAUAUUGGGAAGAACACCGGUGGCGAAGGCGGCAACCUGGCUCAUGACUGACGCUGAGGCGCGAAAGCGUG